UUAAAAUAAUUAUAUAUAUAUAUAUAUAUUACAAUGUUUUUAUUAAAUGUUUACUUAAUGGUUUCCUUUAAGUAAAACUUACAAUAAACAAACCAAAAUUGAAGAAUGUGAAGGCCACAAAAACUGGCCUGAGGAACUGUUGCAGAUGGAAGAGGGUCUAAAGAGGCAUCACAACAAAUGUGUGAUCCUAGGUUGGUUUCUGGACCUACAGAAGACAUUAUUGGGACAGUUCACAAAAUUUGAAUGGGAUCUUGUGAUUACAUGGUAAUUUUCCUAAUUUUAAGGGUGCACUAUGAUUAUAUAGAAGAAUUUUCCUGUUUUUAGGAAAUAUGUACCAAAGUAUUAUGGAUUAAAGGCCAUUAUAUCUCUAACUUACUCCCAAGUGGCUCAGAAAAAAUUUAUGUAUAUAUGAGCCAGAGACAGAGACAAAGAGAGAAAAUAGGCAAAAUGGUUAAAAUAUUACAAUUGAAGAAUCUGGGUGAAGGGUGUACAGGAACCCUCUAGACUCUAUUUUCAACUUUCCUAUAAGUUUUAAACUACUUUAAAACAAGAAGUUUUAAAGCAAUGGUGCUGGGCAAUUCUCUAUAUCUUGUAUCUUUUAAAUGUUUGGUUUAAGGCUCAUAAGCUACGGCAUGUGAAUAGGAUGAAAAAAUUGAGUUAAUUGUGAACCCCAGUACAAGAAAAUACCUUUAUCUCUGAUGCUGCAGACUGCUUCAUAAUCUUCAUCAGUUCAACUGUUCCUCACCUGAGAAUGCUGAGCCAAGCCAGAUCCUCUACCUCACGGGAUACCAUCCUCUGAGCACCAGGCCAUAGCUCCUGCCCCGACCCACCUGCACUGUGGUAUCACUACAUGCUGCUGCACUAGAGAGAUGUCUGACCACAGGAGCUGACCGGGGAGUCUUCAGAAGGGUGAGAAAAUGAGACAUAGGAAACGAAGAAAUAAGUCACCUAACAUUACACAGGCACAGCCAGUGAGCAGCAGGCCCAGGCAUGCACCUCAGCAGUCAGCAUCCAGAGGCCGCCCUCCUCUCUCUGCCUCUCCAAGAGAGCAGAGGUCUCCGGGCAUUUCCUCAGAGGGCCAGGGGGAUAGGCAGAUGGUUCCUACAGGUGCGACUCCAGACACAGGGAUCCUCCAAACUGCAACCCCAGCGAUCAAGAGCCUGGUUGUACUCCGAUUGCAGCUGUCGCUCCCCACCUUCCCUCAUAGCCUCUGACCUCGGGGAACAGGCUGGGCUGCAGUCUGGGGCAAGCAUCCACUGAGCCACCCUUGGAACGUAGCCAUCUCCUUACAGUCUGAGCAGCAGUCACUGUGGGUUAAAGACAAGGCGGAGGCCAGGCAGGCACUUCCCUUCCCCAGAGCCACUGCACUCUCAUCUAAGAGCCCUGAGACCAACUCUUUCCGUACGACACGCCGGAACCUGACCACCAGCCUGGUUCAGUAUCUAACCCUGACUCAGAUGACUGAUGUGGUGUACCUGGAUAAUGUCUAUUCAGAUGCACUUUUUGUAACAGACGUGGUCCCCGUGUUUAUUUUGGGGGUGGGGAUAGACAAGAGGUGGCUAGGUCAAGUGGGCAAGAAGAGACAACUGAAAGGACUCUGCCGAGUCCUCCACUCAGAUAGCUCCACUCAAUGCUGACACCAGAACAUUCCAGAAGAUAUACCAAAUCCAAUUGAAAUGUUCUGAUAUCCUAGAGUUUUAGAAAGUGAGUAAAAUUGAUGUCCUUAGAAAUGCCUAUUCUCCUAGAAUUGAGCAUCUCACUCUUGUUAGCUUUUUUUCAAUAAAGUUUUCCAAUAAUUUGGUA